UACGUAGGGCGCAAGCGUUGUCUGGAAUUACUGGGCGUAAAGCGUGCGCAGGCGGUUUUGUAAGUCAGAUGUGAAAUCCCCGGGCUUAACCUGGGAACUGCGUUUGAAACUACAAGGCUAGAGUGUGGCAGAGGGGGGUGGAAUUCCACGUGUAGCAGUGAAAUGCGUAGAGAUGUGGAGGAACACCGAUGGCGAAGGCAGCCCCCUGGGUUAACACUGACGCUCAGGCACGAAAGCGUGGGGAGCAAACAGG
rnacentral:rRNA from 1 species